rnacentral:rRNA from 1 species
AGUGAACGCUGGCGGUAGGCCUAACACAUGCAAGUCGAACGGCAGCACAGUAAGAUCUUGCUCUUACGGGUGGCGAGUGGCGGACGGGUGAGGAAUACAUCGGAAUCUACUUUUUCGUGGGGGAUAACGUAGGGAAACUUACGCUAAUACCGCAUACGACCUACGGGUGAAAGCAGGGGAUCUUCGGACCUUUCGCGAUUCAAUGAGCCGAUGUCGGAUUAGCUAGUUGGCGGGGUAAAGGCCCACCAAGGCGACGAGCCGUAGCUGGUCGGAGAGGAUGAUCGGCACAAUGGAACUGGGAAACGGGUCAGACCCCUACCGGGAGGCAGCAGUGGGGAAUAUUGGAAAAGGGCGGAAAGCCUACGGCAGCCAGACGGGGUGGGUAAAGAAGGCUUUCGGGUGGUAAAGUCUUUUAGUUGGGAAAGAAAAGCAUCAGGGUAACACCGCGCUGUUCUGAGGGUACCAAAAGGAUAAGCACCGGCGAACUCGGU